CUGUCUCUGAAGAUUACUUCACCCUCUCAAACGUGAGCCUCACCUGUAACACGGUUACAGCCAUGAUCACCAUGAAAGCUGACUACAUGGAGUGGUGGAUUACGGUGGUUUAUGGACCUCAAACAGAUGAGGACAAGCUUCUGUUCCUCCAAGAAUUGAAGGACCUUGCAGCCCCUGGGCAUGAUAGAUGGCUAGUUAUUGGAGAUUUCAGUCUUAUCUACCAAGCUGCGGAUAAAAACAACACAAACCUCAAUCGACGCCUAAUGGGAUCCUUUAAGGAAACCAUUGAUGAUCUCAUCUAAAAGAAAUCCGACUAAAUGGUCGCCGGUUCACUUGGAGCAACGGCCAAAACAACCCAAAUCUAACACGAAUUGAUAGGGUCUUUUGCACCCCGAAUUGGGAGCUCCUUUUCCCAACCUGCUACCUCCACUCCUUGCCAUCGCUAAUGUCUGAUCACACACCACUGCUACUUCAGGGUGAGCUAAGUCGGGAGCCGAACAACCGCUUUCAAUUUGAAAAUUUCUAGGUUCGAAUGGAAGGUUUCUUUGAGGCUGUCCAAACUGCUUGGAAUAAGCCAGUGAAUUCAAUACAGCCCCUUAAACGCCUUCACAUCAAAUUGGCACGUACCAUCAAGGGCAUCAGAAAUUGGAAGAAAUCCAAAAUUGGUGAUACUAGACUUCAGCUUGCAAUUGUUAAGGAGAUCAUCCUUCGAUUAGAGACUGCCCAAGAAGAACGAACCCUCACACAAGAUGAACUCGAUCUACUGAAAUGGCUCAAAGUGCGAUCCAUUGGUCUGGCCCUCAUUGAGAAAGCCAGAAUUCGGCAACGCUAACGCCUCACUUACAUUCAGUUUGGAGAUGCUAACAUGAAAUUCUUCCAGCUGCGUGCUAAUUCAAGGUCGAGGAAAAAUUACAUCCAUUGCCUGCAAACUGAUGACGGCAUAGCUUUCUCACAUGAUGAUAACAAGAAAAUCAUUACUGAGCACUUCCUUAAGCACCUUGGCACCACUACAGUCAGGCCGGCCACCUUUCACUGGGAGGCCCUCGGCUAUCAACCACAUGACCUAUCUUCACUGGAGGCAACCUUUUCGCAAGAUGAGAUCAAGGACACCAUUCAAUCCAUGCCGGGGGACAAAGCACCGGGGCCGAUGGGUUUCACUGGACUUUUCUUCAAAGAGUGUUGGGAGAUCAUCAAGCAUGAUCUCACGGCUGCCUUCAAUCAACUCUACAACAUGAAUGCGCAAGGAUUUGAUCUACUGAACUCAGCCAAUAUUUUUCUCCUUCCCAAAAGGAUGGACGCUGCAAAAGUUGGAGACUACCGACCAAUAAGUUUGAUUCAUAGCAUUGCAAAGAUCUUCUCCAAAUUGUUAGCCAACAGACUCUCCUCUCAUCUAAACACCUUGGCCUCCAAAUGCCAGAGUGCAUUCAUCAAACACCGCUGCAUUCAGGACAACUUUCUGUACAUCCAAAACACGGUGAGGAGAUUUCACAAAAUGAAAAUGCCAGCCCUCUUCAUGAAGCUGGACAUACAAAAGGCCUUUGACACAAUCAAUUGGAGCUACAUGCUGGAAGUACUACAAGCUCUUGGUUUUGGGCCAAGAUGGCGUGAAUGGAUUUCUAUCCUUUUUGGCACAGCCACUUCAAGAGCUCUUCUCAAUGGUAGUCAGGGACGUAGUUUCAGUCACAAAUGGGGUGUGCGACAAGGUGACCCACUAUCACCCAUGCUAUUCAUUCUCGCCAUCGACCCACUGCAAAAAAUGCUUGAUCUCGCAACUCAGAACGGUAUCCUUACACCGCUGCCACUAGCUAAAGCAAAACUGCGUACUUCUCUUUAUGCCGAUGACGCUGCUAUCUUCCUAAAUCCAAAUCGAGGAAUUGCAAGCAGUAAAGGACAUGCUCCAAAUGUUUGGCAAAGUCACGGGUCUAAUCACAAACUUGGAAAAAAGUUCAAUCCACCCAAUUCACUGUGAAAAAUUGAUCUGGAUCAUGUUCUUGAACUGUUCCUAGGUGCCUGCGAUACCUUCCCGUGCCGCUACCUUGGUCUGCAGCUUCACACUCGCUCCCUGCAAAAAGUGCACGUACAACCCCUCAUUGAAAAGAUUGGUAAUCGUCUUCCAAGAUGGAAAGGACGGCUUCUCAACUGCGCAGGGAGACUUACUUUGGUUCAAUCAGUGCUCUCCUCCAUGCCGACUUAUCAUCUAACUAUCUUCCCGCUAGCAGUCUGGGCAAGGAAACAAAUUGACAAAAUUCGUCGUUCAUUCCUUUUGAAAGGCAAUGAUAACGCCAACGGCGGUCACUGCUUGGUGAACUGGCCAACUGUGAGCAAGCCUAAGGACAUGGGCGGUCUAGGAGUGACUGACCUAGACAAAUUCGGCAGAGCUCUGCGCGUGCGAUGGCUUUGGCAAGAAUGGACUGAUGAUCAUAAGCCAUGGUCUGGUACAGACAUCCCAUGCAAUGGAGUGGAAGAUUUUUCUUCAACGCCUCCACUACUGUUUCCAUUGGCAAUGGAAAGAAGGCGAAGUUCUAGCAUCAUAGCUGGCUUGAUGGCGACGCCCCACGAAACCUUGCACCCUAUCUCUUUGCUUUGGUCAAAAGAAAAAAAAAUAAGAUGGUCGAGCAAGAAUUGAAUAAUAGCGCCUGGAUCAAAACAUUUCACUGCAAAAUAACAACCGCCACACAUGUGGAGCAAUUUGUCUCUCUAUGGAUCAGGAUUCAACAAGUGCAUCUACAACCUGAGAAGGAGGACCAAAUCAAAUAGAAAUGGACAAUUGAUGGAAAGUACUCUGCUUGAUCAGCCUACCGAGCUCAAUUUAUUGGGACAUACAAUCAGCAUCAAACCAAACUAAUAUGGCAAGCACAUACUGAGAACAAAUGCAAAUUGUUUGCUUGGAUACUAAUACAGAACAAGAUCCUUAC
rnacentral:lncRNA from 1 species